rnacentral:rRNA from 1 species
GACGAACCGUACGAACGUUAUUCGGAAUCACUGGGCUUAAAGGGUGCGUAGGCGGGCGCAGUAAAGUUGGGUGUGAAAUCCCUCGGCUUAACCGAGGAAUUGCGCCCAAACUACUGUGCUCGAGGGAGGUAGAGGUGAGCGGAACUUAGGGUGGAGCGGAUGAAAUGCGUUGAUAUCCUAAGGAACACCGGUGGCGAAAGCGGCUCACUGGACCUCUUCUGACGCUGAGGCACGAAAGCUAGGGUAGCAAACGGG